rnacentral:rRNA from 1 species
CCUACGGGGGGCAGCAGUGAGGAAUAUUGGUCAAUGGACGAGAGUCUGAACCAGCCAAGUAGCGUGAAGGAUGACUGCCCUAUGGGUUGUAAACUUCUUUUAUAUGGGAGUAAAAUGUUCCACGUGUGGGAUUUUGUAUGUACCAUAUGAAUCCGGAUCGGCUAACUCCGUGCCAGCAGCCGCGGUAAUACGGAGGAUCCGAGCGUUAUCCGGAUUUAUUGGGUUUAAAGGGAGCGUAGGUGGAGUGUUAAGUCCGUUGUGAAAGUUUGCGGCUCAACCGUAAAAUUGCAGUUGAAACUGGCAGGCUGGAGUACAGGAGAGGUGGGCGGAAUGCGUGGUGUAGCGGUGAAAUGCGUAGAUAUCACGAAGAACUCCGAUUGCGAAGGCAGCUCACUGGACUGCAACUGACACUGAGGCUCGAAAGUGUGGGUAUCAAACAGGAUUAGAUACCCGUGUAGUC